rnacentral:lncRNA from 1 species
CCAACGAGUCAGAGGCAAGAUAACUGAAAGCCUCUGUCCCCACUGUCUUCCGAGAGCUGUGGUUUGACCAGGCAGCCCCCUAUGCCUCUUCCAGACUCAGGCUUCUCUCUGCUUCUGCAGUUUCUCCAGGACUCUUCAUGUUCUCCCUCAUUGACAAAGGGCAGUGGAUUUCUGGAAAUCUAUUUUCAGUAGACUUCAGUAACUCAAUUUUACCUAUCCACACUGUGUGGUAUAGUAUCAUCAUGUAAAAAUCAGAAGCAUCAAAAAUCAGACAAACCUAGACUCACUCCUCAAUUCUUUUACCAGGUGAAUGAAAAAGUGAUUAUUUUAUAAAAGGAAUGCUAGUUAGCAUUCCUGGGAGAAGUGAGUCUCUAUGGCUUGCCCUUUUGAAACUGGUUUCCAAACAAAAUGCAUACUCAUGAAUAUUUAUUGAUCAUAAAAGUUUGGCAGAUUAGAGCAGAAGAAGGGUAGCAUGAGGAGUACCAACUCUUAAACCUGAGGACUCAUGUCUGCACUACACCUUAUACAACAGUGUCUGUGAAAUGGUUAAAGAGUAAAAACCCAAUCUGUUGCAGCCAGAAAGGAGUACUCCACCUAUUACACAGCAAGGCCAAUAGAUUGCUUGUUAUUUUAAGUGUUAUUUAAAUUAUCUCCCUAGGGAAGAUAAUUUUCAGCUGCCUCUCCAUCUUCUUAAAGAAGAGCAGAAUUUAACACAUCUCGUCUUUGUGAAAAACAAAGACACUGAAGCAAUGGUCAGAAAGAAAAGGAAUAAAGACAAAGUCAAGGAAAGAGCCAUACAAGGACAGUUAGCAUAAGAUAGUUGUUCUCAAUGUAGGCUAUCCAGAACAGCACUGUCAACCUCACCGCGGAACUUGAAAGAAGUGCAAAUCCUUGAGACUGACUCCAAGUCUACUGAAUCAGAAAUUCUGGGGGUGAAGUCCAUCAAUCUUUGGUUGAACAAAACACAACCAAUCUCACAUUUAUGGAAGUUUCAUAUAUGAAGUCAUAAAAGUCACUAGAAAGGCAAGAAGAACCAGGGAGCUGACAUGUUCCUAGAUCCAGGAGCCACCCAGUGGAUUGACGAUUCUUAUCAUAAUAAGACUUCCUUGAACCAUCCCCCACCCAACCCUUUUCCAGAAAGAGUUGAAGACAAAUCUACAGUGAAUAGGAGGCUGAGGCCACCACACCACAGCUUCCAGUGCAAGUGUCCUUGUGCCCUGGUGCCUGAUAUCCAGCUCCGGCAGCCUAGAAAAUCAGUUAGGCUUUUCAGUCACAGCACCCUCUGUGACAAACGUGUGGAGCACCGCACGACUUCUUCAACCAGCUGGUUUUUCUGGCAUUCGAAUAAAAGUAAAAAUAGAAAACAAAGAGGGAGAAGAAAAGUGACAAGCUGAAACCUGCGAAGAGAAAGAGGACAAGAAAUGAACAAGUUGAUCUGGUCUUGAGGGAGGAGGAGGCACAGGAACACAGUAAAGGAACCUAUCUGAGGAGCUGCAGACAUGAACCAACAAAGGUCAAACCCCACCUGGAAAAUGAAUUGUGUCCAAAUGAGACCCCUUUAAUGACAGGAUUUGAAACAAUCUCAUUAUGAAACAAUUGCAGUCAAUGGGAAUCCUGAGUCUUCAAGGAAGUAAAAAGAAAAAAAAAUCUCUGUUAUCCUCACAUAUUUAAAGAUUCUCAUAUAAAAGCUUCUCCGAAGAGAACAGCUUGUCCUGUUUAGCUUCAAAGAAGAGAAUGAGGAGGAAGGUCGAGGGAAAAUUACAGAAAAGCAGACUUUGACUUGACACGUGGAAGGACUUCUCACUAAUGCUAUUCCCAAAUACAAUGAGUUGUUUCCGUGAUUGGAGGACUUGAAGAUGUAUAAGUUAUCCACAGGGAUGUUGCAGAGGAAAUUUGACCAUCAUAUGGGUGAAUUAACUGAUAUCUAUGAUCUUUAUUUCUCCUGAGAGUCCAUAAAAGGUAGUGUAAAACCAGCCCAAAUAGUGGUUUACAAGUGCACUGGGUAUGUUAUGUAAGAUUUCUGCUUUCCUGAUGAGGCCCCAAAGCUGAGAGCAAUGAAUGAUACAACAAACACAGCAUCCCCACAGAAUUUUCUAAGAGGUAGACAAAAUUGGCUCUGCAACCUUUAGCCUAUGGUCCACCACUGCCCUAUGUAAGGAAAGGUAAGAAAUUCAAGAGAGAUUAAUCAGAGAGGGAAGGCAAAUGGAAUGAAAUUAGUAGAAAUAAGGAGUACUGUGGCAUUUCUCUUCCCUUUGUAUAAUGAAAGAGAGGAGAAUGUAUCUUCUCCCAAAUUCCAAGCUAAGUGAGAGAGGGCAGAAAACCACCUUCUGAGAAAGAAACUGACGAUCCGUCACAGGGAAGAGAUAUCGACCUCCUUACUUAACAUUUUUGAGCUUGAUUAGAGGAUGAUGCAUUAGAUGCCAUUAUAGGACAAAUGUUUUAUGCAGUGAGAUAAUUGUUUGGAAAUUUGACGUAUACCUCUUGGAAUCUGAGGAGCAUGAAGAUCAGUGUAUGACUCUUGCCUGAAAUCAAGGAGAAAGGAAAACCCUGUCAAUGGCACAAAUUUCCAAAGUUUGGGAUGACAAGGACAUCCAGAAGAGCCUGAAGCAAUACUGCAAGUGGGUGCUUUGGUACUGCUUUGAAGCAUCUUUCCAGACUCUGCAGUAGCCAAGGCCUGUGACUCCAGUCCCUGAGAAAGUACCAUCAGGAGCAAUACGUAAGCUUUUCAGGGACAAAGAACCUUGUCCUCUUAAUCUGGAUUCACAAUUCACAAUUAUACCCCUAGCCUGCCCAACGCCUUUUUCUCAGUCUCUGAGAAGUAUUGACUCUCUUUUACCUAAGAGCAGGAGUCUGAAAACUACAGCCUAUGGGCCAAAUCUCUUCUGUUGUGUCCCACAAGGUAACAGUCGCAGUUACAUUUUUAAUUGGUUAAAAAAAUCAAUCAAAAGAACAACACUAUUUUAUAAGAUGAGAAAGAUAUUUAAAAUUCAAAUAUAAAUGCCGAUGAAUAAAAUUUUAUUGGGACAUAGCGAUGCUCAUUCACUUAUGUAUUAUCUAUGACUGGUUUCACAUGGCAGAGUUGAGCAGCUGUGAAAGAGCCUAUUCUUAGGCAAAGCCUGCAAUAUUUGUUAUCUGAACUUUUACAAAAAAUGUUCUCAAUCCCUGCCCAGGAAGAUUGCCUGAGUCUGUCAUCUUACCCCAGCAGCAUCCAUCCCUUUGUAAAUAAGACUUUUGGUAGAAAUGGAAACAAUUAAAAAUAUUUAUAUGCUUUAAAAUAAUACAUUUAAUAAAAGGUAUCUAAAUCCUUGCAUAUAUGACUGUAAUACUCCAGUGUGAUAUUAAUUGCUGGUUGUUUAAUUCCCUCAUUUUAAAUGACAGCACAGAGUUUAAUCAUGGGCAUAUUCUCAAAAAGCAUUCAGAAAUAAAGUCCUUAUGGGUGUUGCCCCUGACUAUACCACAACUCUGAAAGCCACAUGGUGGAUUUAUUUAACCUCCAAUUUUUGGGAACACUUAGUAGCAUACGUGGGCUAAUAUUUGUUAUGGCUCAAUUUACUUUCUCUCUUUUAUCCUGGGGAAAGGAAUACUUUGCUCCCACACUGUGAGGUUUCUGAGAAAGGGUGAAAAAACUAUAAUCAUUCACUUCUCUUGGGCAAGGUGGGAGUGAAAGAAUAACCAAUAAACAAAUAUAUCAAGUGCUCAUCUGUGCAGAAUGCUGCAUGCUUAAUUUAGUUAAAUAUACACAUACAUAAAAGGCACAGCCAUUAUUCCAUCGGAGCCUGAGCCUGAAAUCAGAAUAUGAAGGUCAAACUGGGGUGUAUUUCUGAUUACAGAAUGAAAUCCUCAGACCAGCUGCUCUGUGUGUCCCACUGGGCUCAGUCUUUCUCUCUAGUCCAUCUUUGCUUCCAUGUGCUACUGGUUCUGGAGUGCUAUAGGGGCCCUCAGAGCAUCAUUCUUGCCUCCAAACCUUUGUUCGCUCUGAACCAUCACCUGAGGUCCAUUAUCUGCUACAUUCCUCUUAAACAAAUUUUAUCCCACACUCAAAUGCUCAGAACAAUUCCUACUUCUUUAAAAAUAUCUCUGCUUGGAGUAUUCCGUAGACUCCUCCUUGAAUUUCAUAUUAGCAUUUCAACCGUUGAGUUUAGUCUUCUUGUAUAUCAAGUUUGCAUUUUCCUUGAAUAUUUUAUUUGUACUAGUCAUAAAUUUUCAAUUAAAUGGGAGCUCUUCAUGUUAAAGGCUGCAUCUUUAUUUCUAGUUAAAAAGUCAUACACACACAAACACAUAGUUAAUUUUCAUUAUUCACAGAUUUCAUAUUUGUG